CGCGGAUCCAGGGUGAAGAAAGCGACCGGUCAACUCUAUCCUCAUCCUCAGCCGCCGCUCACACUCACCCGGAUCUUCCCCAAACCAACCUUGGCAACCCCAGAUCAAGCAUGUGAGCAGCCGCCGGCACACUCUGCCUCCUCCUCCUCGUUCUCCUCCCGCUCACAUCCUUUACCUCUAGCCUCCCCUUCCUCUCUACUCAAGUUUCUCACGAGCACAGCAAAGGCCCACGACAGAGGGCAGCCAGGCUAGCAAUGCAAAGCUGGCGACGGGUGGAGGCCGGCGACCACCCCAUCUUCUCUUGAUAUGGUCAGCGGUGGAGGAGGAGGGCGCAUCCAGCAGAGUCACCGCGACAUCAAGUGAUCCCCAGCUGCCAUCGAUCCAGCGCCAGGCUUGAAGAAGGAGGUCAAGGCCCCAAGGAUUGCAAAGGUAUUGAUGCUCAAGUGAUAUCACUACACCUAAAGAUACCAAGGAUGACAAAGUGAAGAUAUUGAAGAUGUGGGAUACGAAGUGGCUACUAUGGCAAGACGGUGAAGGGCAAGCGAUGCUCGGUCACGAUGGACCAUGCGGUGGUGAAGGGCAAGCAAGGGGCUUGGCGCGAAGAACAAAAUCCGGUGGUGAAGGGCGAGUGACGGCUUUGUCAUGAUGGACUGUGUGAGACCAUUUGAAGCUACAAGUAACCGCAUGCUUUGUUGCGGGAAAUAUGAUAGAUAUUGGAGAAAUGACAAAAUGAUUUGGAUUGAAAUAUUACGAAAUUGAUUUGAGAAUGAUGAUUUA